UGUCCCUGCUUUUUUUUUUUAAUCUAUGAAAAAUACCUUGUUCCAAAGAAAUUUUUAUAAUUCCCAGAUUUUUAAUUUCUAGCAGCAGUUGCCACCUACCUGGCUCAAAAGUUUAAAUGUGAGAUUUACAAAUAAGGAGGAUAGAAUGAUUGCAGGCCCUUUUCCAGAAACCCAGAGGUCUGUGACAGCCAUGGAGAUUCAGAAGCCUGAGAAAUCUGUCAUGUGAUAAUAUGAAUAUCUGGCAUUCUUACACCUGGGAAAUCAGAAGAAAUAAUUGAAGAGACAUAAGCUGCAUCACUUGACAGCAAGAAUGAAGAGCAAAUGAAGUAAAUGGUUAACUAUGUAAAAUUCUCAGUGUCACAGAAGAAGAGACAAGUCUCCAGUUUUGUUCAGCUUCCAUUUGUUUCUCUCUGUUGGUUCCAUUCAGCUACCAGUUGUGAAAAGGUGAGGACUUUUUCUGCCAAAUCUCUUAAAAUGCUAUCUGCACCUAAUGCCUAAAGUCUCUCACAAUCAACUUUUAAUCUUUCAAGUCACCUACAAUUAACUUUCCCCCUCAAGUUCUAUCUUUGGCGCCAUUCUAACUUUAAUACUUUUAGUUUGAUUGCACCUCAUGGCCUCAGCCUCUGCAGGGAUGAGUUCCAAAUCUCUCUUUUUAGCCGUAACUUCUCUCCUGAGCAUUGACCAGACCUACAUCUCUGACUGCCUAUAUAAGCACCUUCAUUUACUUGCCUCAUCAAGUCCCCAAACUUAACAUAUCCCAAACCAAACAUGUCUUUCAUCUUUUAAAACUGUUCCUCUUUUUGACUUACGUCAUUGGCAUUACUUACAGUCUCCCCCUGGCCAAAAUUUUGUAUUUUAUUCUUUUACUCUUGUCUCUCCUUUACCUCAUCAACUGCCAACAUUGAUACUGCUUCCAAAACACCAGCACUAUUCCUUUGUAUGCUGUACCUCCUGCCACCAUCUUUUUCUUGGAAAAUAGCCACCCAAUUAAUCUUGUUUUCAUUUGUUCUCCUCUUCCAACCUACCCUCUCUAUCAAUUGGUAAAUUUAAUCUUUCAUAUGUGGAGAUCUGAAGCAAUCCUCUGCUACAAAGAUUUCAUUGAUUCCCUCUUGUUUAUGAUGUUACAUGAUGUUUAAACGUCUUAGCCUGGCAUUAAAGGAAUGUCAUAAUCUGAUAACUAGCACGCUUUUCUAAUUUUCCUUCUGCAUAAUCUAUUUGCUCACUCUUCUCCAUGCUAUGUGUGUUCCCCUUCCUUCUCUUUGCCCACUGAACCAUUUUAAAGGCCAUCUCUUCCAUAAGGCCUUAUAUGAUCCAACCAGUUGGUCAUGAUUUCCUACGCUCAAAAAUCAUACAGCACUUUCUAGUACAUAUUGUAUUUAUAUCUUGGCUUCAGUCUCAAUAUUUUACACAUAGUAGAUGCUCAU